GGGUAGUGUCCUCGGGGCUGUGCGGCUCGCGCUUGCAUAACGCCGGCGCGGGGCACGAGCGGAGUUGAAUCUGUAAAAAGCGCACUUUGUUUUUGCGUCGUGAAGUCCGGGGAAACCACGCACAGCCGCAGUAUGACAGGGAAAGUAAAGCUGUAUUAUUUCGAUGGAAGAGGGAAAAUGGAAUCCAUUAGGUGGCUGUUAGCAGUUGCUGGCGUGGAGCUUGUGCCCCUUCGACCAGAAAUGCAUCUACAGGUGGAGAAAACUGCUUAGUUCCCUUUACAGUGUGAACAAAAAAGACAACAAACUACCAACACCAAAACACAGAAAUUAAAAUGCAAACGAAAACAAAUCCAAAACUGAAAAAGUUUUCAAGGAAUAAUUUCCGAAGUGAAAAGCUUACUGGUUCUGAUUGGUGUACUUUUCUCACCACAGGCCAUGUCUUGCCAAUUUGUGGUGCUCAUCGUAAUGAGACCAUCGUUCUCUCUGCUCCAGAUAUGCCAAAUUGCUUCUUUCUUCCUUUAUACAUGCCGGACAUGUUGU